GGGUGCCUCUCACGGCCCUGGGAGACGGGGUGGGGGCAUCCCCACCAGGGACAACACAAGACCGCCACCUAACCACGACAGAAUCCCCGUCCCAUGGUGACGCCGGGGUAUGGCUGGAUUCAAGUCGCCAGGGUAUAGCUGGAAACAGGGUAAAAAGAAAUGAAUUGGAUGGAUGUCAGGAAGCUCACAGAAUGUUCAGGAAGCCUGCAGAAUGAGGCUGGGAAGCGCAGAGUUGAAGGAGGAAGAAAAGAAAAAAAGUUUCUGCAAAACGCGUGUCAACAAAGUGAACUGUGGAAAAUUACAAACUCUUUCCACCUUCCAAGGUAGAAUCCAAGAGAACACAACAGUGUGUUACGUUUUAGAAGCACUCAAGACACGAGAUCUGAAAAGGAGGAUAAAGCAGAAGUGAAACCCUCACUAAUUUCUUUCAGAGGGUGGUGAUGAGAUGGAGCGAUCUGACAGUGUGUAGGCGUGAUCGCCUCGGGAAGCCCGUUCCCAAGUAAUGGUUUGGUGAACCUAUAAUUUAUAGAGUCCACGUCCUGUAUCGCCUUACUUAUCUCCCGAACUCUCUGAGUAGUAAUCAUCUGAGACGUGGGACUAGCUUUUCAGUGCACACACAGGUCUUGAUCAGCUUUAGCUUAAGGAUUUGGGGGUGGGGAGGGAUGGAGAGAAACGAGAUUAGCUUCCAGUCUUCAAACCAAAGAAACAGGAAUAUAAAACCUCUGUG